rnacentral:rRNA from 1 species
CAGCCGCGGCAAAACGUAGGUGGUAAGCGUUAUCCGGAAUUAUUGGGCGUAAAGCGCGCGUAGGCGGUUUCUUAAGUCUGAUGUGAAAGCCCACGGCUCAACCGUGGAGGGUCAUUGGAAACUGGGAAACUUGAGUACAGAAGAGGAAAGUGGAAUUCCAUGUGUAGCGGUGAAAUGCGCAGAGAUAUGGAGGAACACCAGUGGCGAAGGCGACUUUCUGGUCUGUAACUGACGCUGAUGUGCGAAAGCGUGGGGAUCAAACAGGAUUAGAUACCCCGGUAGUCCCUGUCUCUUAUACACA